ensembl:lncRNA
UUCACAACUCAAACACACCAAACAGGAAACAUCUUCACCUCUGUACAAAUCUACAGCGUUGUUGUCCCUUCAGAAGAAACCGUCUCCGGGUCACUUCCUGUCUGCCGACGAGCAAACUCGAGGAGGAGCGACUCCGGUGUGACGGAGAUAUUAAAAAGCUCCUAACAAACAUCUACAGGUCUUUAUAAAAACACACCGAGCAAAGUGAGAGCAUCUCUAGAGGUCCGUCAGAGGAUGAACGAGGUGGGACGGAGGCAGGAAGUGGAGGCGGAGCUGUGGCGGCCGACGCCCCCAAUUUCAAUAUUUGCCAAAUUUUUUGAUGAGGAGACCGAGAGAAGCAACGCUCGGUCUGACGAAGUGACACUGUAGCCAGCAAAAGGGAGGAAGUGCCUCGGAGGUCUUUUAUUUUGGAGCGUAAAGCAGCAGGAAGUCCUGAUGAGAUCUUUUAACGUGGGGGGGAAGCUGUUUUUGAUAAGAAUAUUAAAUCUGUUAUCAAAACAAUAUUAUGUUAUUCUCCAUAUUUAGUCCAGGUCAAAACGAGUCCAGGUCAUAAUGAGUCCAGGUCAGAAGGAGUCCAAGUCAUAAGGAGUCCAGGUCAUAAGGAGUCCAAUUCAUAACGAGUCCAG